rnacentral:rRNA from 1 species
CGACCUGAGCUCAGGCAAGGCUACCCG